rnacentral:rRNA from 1 species
CAGUAACCGCGGGAAUACGUAGGUGGCAAGCGUUGUCCGGAAUUAUUGGGCGUAAAGGGCUCGCAGGCGGUUUCUUAAGUCUGAUGUGAAAGCCCCCGGCUCAACCGGGGAGGGUCAUUGGAAACUGGGAAACUUGAGUGCAGAAGAGGAGAGUGGAAUUCCACGUGUAGCGGUGAAAUGCGUAGAGAUGUGGAGGAACACCAGUGGCGAAGGCGACUCUCUGGUCUGUAACUGACGCUGAGGAGCGAAAGCGUGGGGAGCGAACAGGAUUAGAUACCCGAGUAGUCCCUGUCUCUUAUAC